UACGUAGGGUGCAAGCGUUGUCCGGAAUUAUUGGGCGUAAAGAGCUCGUAGGCGGUCUGUCGCGUCGGCUGUGAAAACUCGGGGCUCAACCCCGAGCCUGCAGUCGAUACGGGCAGACUAGAGUGCUGUAGGGGAGACUGGAAUUCCUGGUGUAGCGGUGAAAUGCGCAGAUAUCAGGAAGAACACCCGUGGCGAAAGCGGCUCUCUGGAACGGUACUGACGCUGAGACGCGAAAGCGUGGGGAGCGAACAGG
rnacentral:rRNA from 1 species